rnacentral:lncRNA from 1 species
GGCCUCUUUAGAGAGAAAUGGAGAGACAUGUUCUCUCCAAUUUUCUCCAAAACAAACCCCAAAUGAAUUUUGGCUAUAAAGUCAUAUUUAUAGCUUUAUUCAUUUGAGUGGCAAACUUGUAAAUAAGUCCAAGUUCACUACCCUUAACAAUAUGGCCGGCCAUAGGGUGUAUUUGGGUUGUUUGGGCCUUUGUGAAUAUUUAGACAUUAAGUUGUCAUACAACUUAAGUCAAUGGGCUUGACGUUCGAAGCCCAUUGGGCCUUAAGGUC